CUGACUAUGGUUACUCCCUUUACUAGUUAUGGUGUUUGUAAUUAUUUAAAAAAUACUUUAAAAUUAUUAUUCUUAUUUAAUAUGUUCAUGGCUUUCCUCUGGAAAAGACCGUCCAUUCCUAGGGAGCAGUAAGAACUCACUGGAACAGCUUGCUGCUGGAGCACUUUGGAAGGGCACAGGUGUUGGUGCAGCCAGGACAGCGUCUGGGUGCACACAGCCCCUGCCUGGCUGUGUUGAACUGAUUGGUGAAUGUAGCUCUCAACGGCAGUAUUUCCGGUUCCUAUUUGGCAGCAUCACCCUCGAUAUUGACACCCCCUGGUUGAAAGUGUCCCAGGAGCUCUUGCUGACAAUCCCGGUUCCAGACGUCAGUUUUGGGCCAUGGUGAGGGCUGCGAUCCCUUCUCUGAUUUGCUGCCAACCAUGAAUGGGUGGAUGUGAUGCCUGCUGGCCAACAGGUGCCUGCCCUCUGUGUGUUGCGGUCCUGUGGCAUCAUGCACGCCCCCAGCCAGUGACUUCCAGGCUUUUUAUGGCUGUGAGACACAUCGAAAGGGUGAGAAGUGACCUUCUGAGGUGACUGUGACUGAAGAUCGUUUAGCAGAAGCCAGAACAGUUUGAAUUAACCCGUUGGUCCUUCGAGGACGGUCUCUUUUGGAUGGUCCAGCCUGGAAAGGGGGGAUCCCAGCCAGCGGUUUGGGCUGUCAGCUCAGAGCAUGGCUUCUGCAGAGCAUUCCCUGUGCUGAGACUCAGUCUUCUCUUGCUCCUCAGAGUGUGUCCUCGUCUCUGGAACCGGUGCGGUCUCAGCCCAGGGUUCUCCUGCAAACCGUGCUGCGUGCUUAACCCAGCGUGCUGUUAGCAAAGUUUUCUGAUGAAGCUACAAAUUAUGAUCAAGCAAAGCUGAAGAUCAGCUGGAGAGAGAGUUGUAUCUGUUCAAGCAGGACGUCCUCAGGAGGCUCUCACUGUUUGCUCUGGAGUCUCCGGUACAUUUUUCUUCUGAUGCCUCCUCUUGUGACACAAAGAAGCUAAAUAACAACAUCACAACAUUUUUAUGUUGACUUGACUGCUAGGAAGCUCAGAGUAAGAGUUUGUACUCAA